rnacentral:rRNA from 1 species
GAUGAACGCUGGCGGCGUGCCUAAUACAUGCAAGUCGAGCGAACAGACGAGGAGCUUGCUCCUCUGACGUUAGCGGUGGACGGGUGAGUAACACGUGGAUAACCUACCUAUAAGACUGGGAUAACUUCGGGAAACCGGAGCUAAUACCGGAUAACAUGUUGAACCGCAUGGUUCAACAGUGAAAGACGGUCUUGCUGUCACUUAUAGAUGGAUCCGCGCCGCAUUAGCUAGUUGGUAAGGUAACGGCUUACCAAGGCAACGAUGCGUAGCCGACCUGAGAGGGUGAUCGGCCACACUGGAACUGAGACACGGUCCAGACUCCUACGGGAGGCAGCAGUAGGGAAUCUUCCGCAAUGGGCGAAAGCCUGACGGAGUAACGCCGCGUGAGUGAAGAAGGUCUUCGGAUCGUAAAACUCUGUUAUUAGGGAAGAACAAAUGUGUAAGUAACUAUGCACGUCUUGACGGUACCUAAUCAGAAAGCCACGGCUAACUACGUG